AGGCGGAACUAAUCUGCUGUGUUUUGUGUUACACCUGUUUAAUCGACGCACUGGAUAGUUGCAACGGCAGAGCAACGCAGGACGUUAAAGGAAAACUAAGGAAACCAAGGGAAAAUGCAUAUAAAGUUAUCAGCCCCUCUAGGUGACUAGCAGCCUACGAGUUCUCACGGGUUGGAAUAGGUCCCACAAGAAUAAACCCCGUAUUUAAUCAAGA